rnacentral:rRNA from 1 species
UGGGUAUCUACCCUUUGGCCUGGAAUAACACGAGGAAACUUGUGCUAAUACCGGAUAAGUCUUUACGGAGAAAGCUUUAUGCACCAUUGGAUGAGCCUGCAUUUGAUUAGUUUGUUGGUGGGGUAAUGGCCUACCAAGACUGUGAUCAAUAGCUGAUUUGAGAGGAUGAUCAGCCACAUUGGGACUGAGACACGGCCCAAACUCCUACGGGAGGCAGCAGUGGGGAAUCUUGCACAAUGGAGGAAACUCUGAUGCAGCGAUGCCGCGUGAGUGAAGAAGGCCCUUGGGUUGUAAAGCUCUUUCGUCGGGGAAGAAAAUGACUGUACCCGAAUAAGAAGGUCCGGCUAACUUCGUGCCAGCAGCCGCGGUAAUACGAAGGGACCUAGCGUAGUUCGGAAUUACUGGGCUUAAAGAGUUCGUAGGUGGUUGAAAAAGUUGGUGGUGAAAUCCCAGAGCUUAACUCUGGAACUGCCAUCAAAACUUUUCAGCUAGAGUAUGAUAGAGGAAAGCAGAAUUUCUAGUGUAGAGGUGAAAUUCGUAGAUAUUAGAAAGAAUACCAAUUGCGAAGGCAGCUUUCUGGAUCAUUACUGACACUGAGGAACGAAAGCAUGGGUAGCGAAGAGGAUUAGAUACCCUCGUAGUCCAUGCCGUAAACGAUGUGUGUUAGACGUUGGA